rnacentral:rRNA from 1 species
UGUAAACUAAAGUUUUCAGGUAGUUUGGCUAGCCCGGUAAAUAAGUUCUCUGGAAAGGGACGACAAAGAGGGUGAAAUCCCCGUUUUUGGCCGGAGCAUAGUCUUGCGUUUGCUUGGGAAUGAAGAGUCAGGUUGUUUGGUAUUGCAGCCUAAAGUGGGAGGUAAAUCUCUCCUAAAGCUAAAUAUUGACGAAAGACCGAUAGCGAACAAGUACCGUGAGGGAAAGAUGAAAAGCACCUUGAAAAGGGGGUCAAAAAGUACGUGAAAUUGCUGAAAGGGAACCGUAUGAAAUCAGCUUGGCCGUAUAGUAAUCAGCCUAAAUUUCGAUUUGGGUGCACUUGCUAUUUGGUUCAGCCUACGACAAUUUUGCUCGGGGGAAAAAAUCAGGGGAAAUGUAGCUUCGGCCUCGGUCGAAGUGUUAUAGGCCUUUGAAAAAUACUCUGGGCGGGAUUGAGGAACGCAGCAAGCCUUUGGGAUGAACUGUGGGCGCUUAUUGGCCGNUGGGGGGAAAUUUCUAUUCAGGUAGUGUUCUCUCAAUGGUUGGUAACUCGGCCACUUUUUCUUUUUCUUGCUUAGGUCGUAGGCAUAAUGAUUUUAUACNACCCGUCUU